CCUACGGAGCGCAGCAGUAGGGAAUAUUGCUCAAUGGGGGAAACCCUGAAGCAGCAACGCCGCGUGGAGGAUGAAGGUUUUCGGAUUUUAAACUCCUUUUGUUAGAGAAGAUAAUGACGGUAUCUAACGAAUAAGCACCGGCUAACUCCGUGCCAGCAGCCGCGGUAAUACGGAGGGUGCAAGCGUUAAUCGGAAUCACUGGGCGUAAAGAGCGCGUAGGCGGGAUAGCAAGUCAGAUGUGAAAUCCUAUGGCUUAACCAUAGAACUGCCUUUGAGACUGUUAUUCUAGAGUAUGGGAGAGGUAGGUGGAAUUCUUGGUGUAGGGGUAAAAUCCGUAGAGAUCAAGAGGAAUACUCAUUGCGAAGGCGACCUGCUAGAACAUAACUGACGCUGAUGCGCGAAAGCGUGGGGAGCAAACAGGAUUAGAUACCCGAGUAGUC
rnacentral:rRNA from 1 species